GGUACUGUCCAGUGGUAUAGUGUGUGCUUAGCAUGCACAAGACGCUGGGUUCAAUUCCCAGUACCA
rnacentral:tRNA from 1 species